rnacentral:rRNA from 1 species
GAGUUUGAUUAUGGCUCAGGACGAACGCUGGCGGCGUGCCUAAUACAUGCAAGUCGAACGAACAGAGAUUAGAAGCUUGCUUUUGAUUGAUGUGAGUGGCGCACGGGUGAGUAACACGUGGGAAACCUACCUCUCAGCGGGGGAUAACAUUCGGAAACGAGUGCUAAGACCGCAUAGAUAGUUUAGUCGCAUGACUGAAUUAGGAAAAGAGCUGUAGCUCUACUGAGAGAUGGUCCCGCGUUGCAUUAGCUAGUUGGUAAGGUAAGGGCUUACCAAGGCGAUGAUGCAUAGCCGACCUGAGAGGGUGAUCGGCCACAUUGGGACUGAGACACGGCCCAAACUCCUACGGGAGGCAGCAGUAGGGAAUCUUCCGCAAUGGACGAAAGUCUGGCGGAGCAACGCCGCGUGUGUGAAGAAGGUUUUCGGAUCGUAAAGCACUGUUGUUAGAGAAGAAGAAGUGAGGUAGGGAAUGACCUCACCUGGACG